GACGAACGCUGGCGGCGUGCUUAACACAUGCAAGUCGAGCGGUAAGGCCCUUCGGGGUACACGAGCGGCGAACGGGUGAGUAACACGUGGGUGAUCUGCCUUGCACUCUGGGAUAAGCCUGGGAAACUGGGUCUAAUACCGGAUAUGACCUUCGGUUGCAUGACCGGGGGUGGAAAGAUUUAUCGGUGCAAGAUGAGCCCGCGGCCUAUCAGCUUGUUGGUGGGGUAAUGGCCUACCAAGGCGACGACGGGUAGCCGGCCUGAGAGGGCGACCGGCCACACUGGGACUGAGACACGGCCCAGACUCCUACGGGAGGCAGCAGUGGGGAAUAUUGCACAAUGGGCGGAAGCCUGAUGCAGCGACGCCGCGUGAGGGAUGACGGCCUUCGGGUUGUAAACCUCUUUCGACUCCGACGAAGCGAGAGUGACGGUAGGAGUAUAAGAAGCACCGGCCAACUACGUG
rnacentral:rRNA from 4 species